AGCGGUGGAUUUUGAUUGCUAAACUGCCAGUUGAUUUUACGGGAUGAUUUUGGGUUGCCUUUUGAUUGCUCCCGGAAUGAUUUUGGGUUUAUGAGUGAUUGAUGUGGGGAGGAGGCAUUAAAGAGGAGAUUCAGAACAGCUGAAAUGUUCAGGAAGAGGCUUGUUCAUGGAAGAUGUAAAGAAUAUGUGAGGUGGCAAUUCAGCUUAGUUGUUUACUUCUUUUUCGAGGCUCUCUCUUGAAGCUGUUUAUCCAAGUUGACUCUUUCACCAGCUCGCAAACUAUCUUUCCUGAUGAUGCUGAGCUCAGACUUCAGCUUCUCCUCCUCCAGCGCAGCUGUUUCUUGUCCCUUCAAAUCACAAGAUCUAAUUAACUUUAGCUUUGAAAUAUUUCGCAUAGCUUAAUUGAUGAGAUCACCAAGAAUCAUUAAGCUCUUAUUAAUGUAUUUCCUUCCAUCAAGCGAACUCCACCAGCAGCCAAUUUCACAGAAACCAAAUUCUAGAUUCCAUUAAAAGAACACCAGUAAGAGAAUAAUAAACAGCUUCCCAAGAAACUUUUACAAGAUGUUAGACUAAGUGAAAGG
rnacentral:lncRNA from 1 species